AAUGAACGCUAGAAAUAUGCUUAACACAUGCAAGUCGAACGGUAACAGGUCUUCGGAUGCUGACGAGUGGCGAACGGGUGAGUAAUACAUCGGAACGUGCCUAGUAGUGGGGGAUAACUACUCGAAAGAGUGGCUAAUACCGCAUGAGAUCUACGGAUGAAAGCAGGGGAUCGCAAGACCUUGUGCUACUAGAGCGGCCGAUGGCAGAUUAGGUAGUUGGUGGGAUAAAAGCUUACCAAGCCGACGAUCUGUAGGUGGUCGGAGAGGACGAUCAGCCACACUGGGACUGAGACACGGCCCAGACUCCUACGGGAGGCAGCAGUGGGGAAUUUUGGACAAUGGGCGCAAGCCUGAUCCAGCAAUGCCGCGUGCAGGAUGAAGGCCUUCGGGUUGUAAACUGCUUUUGUACGGAACGAAAAGCCCUGGGUUAAUACCCUGGGGUCAUGACGGUACCGUAAGAAUAAGCACCGGCUAACUACGUGCCAGCAGCCGCCGUAAAAC
rnacentral:rRNA from 1 species